rnacentral:rRNA from 1 species
UACAGAGGGUGCAAGCGUUAAUCGGAUUUACUGGGCGUAAAGUGUGCGCAGGCGGCAAAGCAAGUCGAGUGUGAAAGCCCCGGGCUUAACUUGGGAAUUGCGCUCGAAACUACAAGGCUAGAGUGUGGCAGGAGGGGGGUAGAAUUCCACGUGUAGCAGUGAAAUGCGUAGAGAUGUGGAGGAAUACCGAUGGCGAAGGCAGCCCCCUGGGAUAACACUGACGCUCAUGCACGAAAGCGUGGGGAGCAAACAGG